GCUCCAAAGGUCAGUGGUAGACCAGCCUCUCUUAUGCUUGAGUUGCAGAGUGAUCUGAGGUGACGCGGGUUCAACUCCUGCUUGGGGCA